ACCAGGCAUACUCCACAACUUUACAACAAAAUGAUACCUUUAUAUUUGGACUCAUUAUCUUAUUAUCAUAGUUAUGAUUCCUAUAAUGAAAUAAAGUUUAUUAACAUAUUUCUUUUUAUUAUUUGUUGCAUAGCAUUGUGCUUUUCAAAAUAUCCUAAAAGUCUUAUCUUUGGUUUAGUAUUUUAAUUAUGCUAUAAUAGGAACAUUGUAUUUGAAUAGACUAUAGAUGCACACAUUGUAAAUUUAAGACACAGUAAGUGGACACACCAUUGGGUACAGUUUAGAGCCUUUUACAUUUUUAGUAGAAAUUGUUAAUGGACAGAUUACUAUGCUCAUUUUCUUUUUUUUCAAAUUCCAGUAAAGUAAGGCACUUUGAAGAACAGCUUAUUUUUCCUGUCAUCUAAUCAAAUGAUAUUUAUGUUAAUAUUAAGUAGCUUAUUGUACAUAUGUGGAACAUGUUGAAGUAUAGAUUAAGAUUAUUUUUUAAAAAUCACUACUUUGAAUAGAGAUCCAUUACUGUUUUUCAAUAAAUUAAGCCAAAGCUUUUCAAUGAAGUAUAUGUCAGUGAGAAUAGACUUGUUUGAAAACUAUUGUGGGCAGGGAGCUCUGUUUUGUUUUACCUUGGCAAAAGACAGUGCCAUAAUGUUAUCAGUGUAAAAAAUGCAUGGCCAUUUUCAUUUCCAUUGUAGUACAACAGAACAAAUACUUGCUGGAUGGUUUUGUGAGUUUUCCACUUCAGAGGAUAUUUACACAUGCAUAUGCCUGGUUCUGACAUAGGAGUAAUAUAUGCAUUUUUAUAUGCAUUUAUGAAUCUUUCCAUUUCUUGUUGAGAGGCUAAGAUUUUCUGCCCAGUAUACUGAAUUAUUGGUAGAGGGAAGUUCAGAGUUCUUUUUUUUAAUUUUUAAGAUUUACUUUUGAUAGUUUUGAGAUAGUACUUGAUUUUGAUGUUUAAAACCUCUGUGCUUGACUUGUGGUGGGUAUGGUGAGGCAGAUCUCUUAAACACAGGAAGUUGUUUUGUGUAGCAUAGCAGGAGAAUUCUGUCAAAAUCAAACAUUCAGGAACCAAAGCUUUAAUAUAUUAAUCAAAGUGAUGAAUGCUUUUAUUUUAAAUGUUGGAAUCUUAUAUGAUUAUUUGUACUCUAUUAUGUAACUCAAUAGGAAAUCAUGACUUAUCAAUAAAAAUUAAAGGUCUAUAUUAU